rnacentral:rRNA from 1 species
GUGGGGAAUUUUGGACAAUGGGGGCAACCCUGAUCCAGCCAUCCCGCGUGUGCGAUGAAGGCCUUCGGGUUGUAAAGCACUUUUGGCAGGGAAGAAAAGGCGCCGGCUAACACCUGGCGCUGCUGACGGUACCUGCAGAAUAAGCACCGGCUAACUACGUGCCAGCAGCCGCGGUAAUACGUAGGGUGCAAGCGUUAAUCGGAAUUACUGGGCGUAAAGCGUGCGCAGGCGGUUCGGAAAGAAAGAUGUGAAAUCCCAGGGCUUAACCUAGGAACUGCAUUUUUAACUGCCGGGCUAGAGUAUGUCAGAGGGGGGUAGAAUUCCACGUGUAGCAGUGAAAUGCGUAGAGAUGUGGAGGAAUACCGAUGGCGAAGGCAGCCCCCUGGGAUGAUACUGACGCUCAUGCACGAAAGCGUGGGGAGCAAACAGGAUUAGAUACCCUUGUAGUCC